CAGCCGCCGCGGUAAUACGUAGGUGGCAAGCGUUGUCCGGAAUUAUUGGGCGUAAAGGGCUCGCAGGCGGUUUCUUAAGUCUGAUGUGAAAGCCCCCGGCUCAACCGGGGAGGGUCAUUGGAAACUGGGAAACUUGAGUGCAGAAGAGGAGAGUGGAAUUCCACGUGUAGCGGUGAAAUGCGUAGAGAUGUGGAGGAACACCAGUGGCGAAGGCGUCUCUCUGGUCUGUAACUGACGCUGAGGAGCGAAAGCGUGGGGAGCGAACAGGAUUAGAUACCCCUGUAGUCCCUGUCUCUUAUAC
rnacentral:rRNA from 1 species